rnacentral:lncRNA from 1 species
GCACCCCCACCCGCGGGGCUGAGGUCCGUCGGGCUCUGAGCGGAGGAAUCCAGCAAGAGAUUAAGAGGGCCUUCAAAAAUCACCUGAAAGGAGAAAGAAAAUUAAAGAAAAAAGCACCAUUUAGGAAUAAAGGUAUUUCUAUCCUACAUAGAUUUUUGUGCCCUUUUUUUGGAGGA